rnacentral:rRNA from 1 species
AUUGAACGCUGGCGGCAGGCCUAACACAUGCAAGUCGAACGAGUGGCGGACGGGUGAGUAAUGUCUGGGAAACUGCCCGAUGGAGGGGGAUAACUACUGGACACGGUAGCUAAUACCGCAUACCCUCAGAUGUGCCCAGAUGGGAUGAGAUAGUAGGUGGGGUAACGGCUCACCUGGGCGACGAUCCCUAGCUGGUCUGAGAGGAUGACCAGCCACACUGGAACUGAGACACGGCCCAGACGCCUACGGGAGGCAGCAGGGGGGAAUAGUGCACAAUGGGCGCAAGCCUGAUGCAGCCAUGCCGCGUGUAUGAAGAAGGCCUUCGGGUUGUAAAGUACUUUCAGCGGGGAGGCGUUACUCGCAGAAGAAGCACCGGCUAACUCCGUGCCAGCAGCCGCGGUAAUUC